UGCUGAUCAUUUGUUUAUUAAAAUGUGUCCUAUUACACAGUGAGUUAACUCUCAAUGAAGUCAUCUAUUUUCUGGGCUAAAAAACUUCAUUUGUCUUUUUCAACUUCUAAUAAGCUUAACCUAAGUGUCACAGAAGCCUAGGUGUCACAGAGGUCCACUCAGUGACAAACACACACUGAAGGCCUGAGGAAGACGAGAUGUCACAGAGGUCCACUCAGUGACAAACACACACUGAAGGCCUGAGGAAGACUAGAUGUCACAGAGGUCCACUCAGUGACAAACACACACUGAAGGCCUGAGGAAGACGAGAUGUCACAGAGGUCCACUCAGUGACAAACACACACUGAAGGCCUGAGGAAGACUAGAUGUCACAGAGGUCCACUCAGUGACAAACACACACUGAAGGCCUGAGGAAGACGAGAUGUCACAGAGGUCCACUCAGUGACAAACACACACUGAAGGCCUGAGGAAGACGAGAUGUCACAGAGGUCCACUCAGUGACAAACACACACUGAAGGCCUGAGGAAGACUAGAUGUCACAGAGGUCCACUCAGUGACAAACACACACUGAAGGCCUGAGGAAGACGAGAUGUCACAGAGGUCCACUCAGUGACAAACACACACUGAAGGCCUGAGGAAGACGAGAUGUCACAGAGGUCCAC
rnacentral:lncRNA from 1 species